rnacentral:ncRNA from 13 species
GUCACGAUAGCUCAAGUGGUAGAGCAGCGGCUUAUCAAGCCGAAGAUCGUGGGUUCGAAUCCCCCUCGUGCCA